ACUGUGCAAAGGACAGGAAUGGGAAGGCUGGGAUCUGAGUGCUGACUUGGGGCAGAAUUCAGGUCUGAGGCUCUGUGCAAACUGCAGUGGAGAUGCUCAGAAUAACGCGUGACCUGUUAUACAACACGAUGUUAUGUCCGUGUUUUGCACCGCUUGAACUGCUUUGUUCUCAGCACAGCGCCUCGCUGAGUGGAUCCUGCACAAGUAGGGCAGCACUGCUGCCUGCACCAUGGUGACUUUCACACCACACUGUACUCAUAUCCCAGCACACAGAUGAGGUUCCCCAGGCCUCCUGGCUGCUGUGAAUCCCGAGCAUCCAAUCCUGCUGGGAUAUACUGGGAUCCAACCAUGGGAGACCGGAGCAGCUCCUCCAGCAGCACCUUGGUGCCCAUGUGGAGAUGGAGGAGCACACAACCAUGUCAAUGGGGCAUCUCACUCCUAAGACAUUCUGGGGUACGUGGGAAGGUGCAGUGAUCUGCUCCCAUAGCUGAAGGAAGUAACCCGAAGAUUUCAUUAGGGAUUUACAGACAAAUAAAGCAUCGACUGGGAGAUGAGAAAAACAGCGUGCACCCAACAGCCCAGCAGGGAGGAGGUGGAUAAAGAGAACAGUCCUCCGAAGCCAUGAAGAAGAAAUUCCAUGAUUCCUGCUGCUGGGAAGUGGAGCUGUGAAGCUUGCAGGACUGCUCGGUGCCAGCAGAGGGAAGCAUCCCCCCGGCUCCGGGGACAGCUUCUAUCGGCCUUCAGUGCCUGCAGGAGUCCGCAGGAAAGAUGAAGAGGGUCUGUUUAUCCGGGAGUGGAGAGAUAGGAUGAGGGGCAGCGGCUUUCAGCUAAAAGAGAGGAGAUUUAGAUUGGAUAUUAGGGUAAAUAUCCUUACCAUGGAGUUGAACAGGCUGCCCAGAGAAGCUGUGGAUACCCCAUCCAUGAAGAUGCUCAAGGUUGGAUGGGGCUUUGAGCAGUGGAUCCAGUGGAAGGUAUCACUGCCCAUUGGAUGGCCAUUAAGGUCCCUUCCAACCCACACUGUUCUGUGAUGGAUGAUUCUAUGACCACCAGGCAGCUCUUCCAAAAGAGGGCAAGGCAGAGAUGCCCAAAGUGUUUGGAUGCCUCCAUGCACUUCUGCUCAGUGCCUGGAACAGGAGCUGUUGUCUGGGGGCUCCCAAAAGGUAGCAGGGUGAAAGAAGCAAAUCCAGAAAGAGGUUCAGCCCGAUUUUGCCUCUGACUCGAACACUCCAAGAGCAGGCAGAAUUGACCCCCAAGCAGAGGCACUGCAGCUCACGCGCAGUAUUUCCCCAGUGUGGGAUAAAGUCACGAUUCUCUCCUAUUUGCAGUAUUGCUCUUUUAUUGGUGAUUCUCCUAACGGUGCACCUGGGGCAGCAAUCUGUCUACCCUGAGCUUUUUGCACAGCGAGGGCCCUACAAGCUUUGCAGUUUGUGCUUUAAUAUUUUAUCUGCUGGUCCCUGACUGGAAAAGAAAAUCCAACCACUCUCAGUGGAAAUUAUUGGUCCUGCUGUGUGACUCACAACAGAGGCUGUAUCAGGUUUGAAACACGCAGGUGGCAGACAGACACCCGCUGGUUCCUUUGGACUCUUUACAGGCAUUUUUUUUUUCAAUCCCAACCCAGGGGUUCCUCAGCCCACAGCUGAUUUAUUCUCUCUGCUCUGCAGGAAUUAGCUUUGCCUUAUACUUGUGUAGCCAUACAACACACAGCUCCUAUCUCAAAGCACAUCUGGAGGCACCUUGCUCAUCACUGUUUGAACUGUCCAAGAGGGGAUAGAGCAGGGAAGCUGUCUCCCAUCACCCUGCAUGGAUGAUACCAGUGCCUUCUGGGCCACUUUCUCCCAGCUAAAACCCCCAGCAUCAUUUCCAUCUCAUUCAUGCUUGGAAACGUGAAGUGGGACCAUGGGGGCUGCAGCCUCAGGGCAGUGGGGAUGUGUGCAGCCUCUACUGCAGGAUGGGGUGCCUUCAGCCUCACCCCAGCACAGUUAUCACCUCUGAGCUGCCUCUGACUGUUUGCAAUACCUGGAGAGAAAAAAACAAAGGAAGGUAGUGGAUAAUUACUGUUUAUACCAGCUCUGUAAUGUCUUCCAGCUCAGCUGGACCAAACAAAACAACGCCAGGAACUGUCAUUAGGGCUAUUACUGCGUUGUGCUACCGCAGGAUUUCAGAUCCCCUGUGAGGAGUCAGCACGGAGGGAGACCACAGAGAAAACCUGUCCUGGGAGCUGGCAGGAGGCACACAACUCCAGUGAGAAAUAAACUUCGAGUGCCUCGAGCCCUGAGAUGCACCACAGCUGCUGGGAUGAAGCACUACUGUGCUGGCACAGAUCUCUCCAUAGACACUUAGAAAAAUUGGGAUUUCUCUCUUAUCACACCACAGCUCAGCCAAAGCUGAUCUUGCUGCUGAGUUUGUGCUAAUAUUGUUCUUGCAGGAGUAGCAUCACAACAAGAGCAUCCCUGGAUGAGCUGGAGCUUGUUUUCGUCACCUCCGCAGAGCCAUGAGCGUGCCGGGGCUGCUGUGCUCUGUGCACGAAAAGAGGAUUUGGGAAACUGCUCAUUGGGAAAUAGUCCCAUGGGUGCCACAGGGAGAGGUGGGUUGGGCUGCAGAUGGGACAGCUCCAUCUCCCUGUUCCCAUCGCAGUGCCGGGAGAUAGGCAAGGACAUGGCCUGGAGGCUGGGUUCCCAGGGCUGCCUCCUCCGCUGUCACCGGUGUUGUGCAACCCUUCCCUCCUUACAGAGGGUGUGGGUAGGAACCCUCUCACGUGGAUGCAGCUCAGGGUGCAGCUGAGCUUAGGAAGUGGCCAUGCACCAGCACCAGCGUGUGGUCCCUCCUUUGUGCCACGUUCUGCACCGCAGCUGCUCCAGGGAUGCAUCCAGCCCUGCAUUAAGGUCACCACAAAGGUCUACAAGAGAGCGGUGCAGUCGUGAUGUGAGGAUGUUUUAUUGUGCAGCAGCUGUGCUCAGACUGCUGUGCAGGCACAGGCUGUUUAAUGGCUCAUAGAAGGACACGAGCACUGCUUGUUAUCCAGCAAGGCUGAGUUGGAACCACAAAUGAUGCUCUCUGCAUUUUGUCUGCUUUAGGAAAGAGAAGCAUGGCUCGUGCCAGGUGGUGGUUUCAGGAGGAUGGAGAGGAUCUCCAAGCACAUGGGAUGGAAGGUGCGUCUAUGCACGCAGGUGAGAAAGCAGAUGAGGCAGUGGGACUGAGCAGAGUGGAAGGAGAGCUGCAGGAAUGGGCCUGGAGGUUCUCCAGGUCUGACCAAGCUGGAGGGCACCAACACAGCCAGCAACAGCAGGUUUAAAGCAGGUGAAAGGAAGCAGUUCUCGACCCAGCAUGCAGUUAAACUGGAGCUCAGUGCCAUAGGGCAUGGCCUCAAAAAUGGCCUUUAAAAGACUGAGAUGCAUGUGUAUGGCAUUGCUCUGCUCUGACCUAUGACAUAUGAUGGGCCAGGACUUCCAGCCAAGGAAGUGCUAAGUCACCGACCACCAGAAGUUGGGCAGGAUUGUUUCCUGCUUCCUUCCUUUUAACAGUCCUUCAUAGAACAGAUACUGCCACGGGCAGGACCAUGGGACCAUAGAAUCAUGGAAUCAUUAAGGUUGAAAAAGACCUCUAACAUCACCAAGCCCAACCCAGCCCAUCCCACUAUGCCCACUAACCAUGUCCCCAAGAGCCACAUCCCCACGUUUCUUGAACACUUCAGGGAUGGUGCCCCCACCACUUCCCUGGGCAGACUGAUCCUUCUUUGCUGCUUGCAGAGUUAGAAGGAAGGCACCAGCUCCCCAUGCUUUACUCUGUUUUUCUCAAUAAGAAGCAGUGGAUGGAGGCGACCACAGUGAUUUCUCCCUUCCUGACACAAAGGCAUCACCUCCUGCUUUCUGCCCAGCAGGGAAGGGAGUAAAGGCACCCGGGGGGUCUCCCCUCAAGGACUUGGCAGCCUCUGGCUCCCAGGGCUGCUGCCAACACUGCUAUUGGGUCUCUCACCAAACUUGCACAAACCGUCACCAUCUCCUCCUGCCAAAGCUUUGCGCCACUCUCAGAAGGGAUUGCAGUGUGGGAUAAACCCGGUGCAAAGCACUGCCAGGCUUCUGCCAGCUUAGAUGGAAAGCUGCAGACUCAGCUCAAGUGAGAAGGAGUCCUCCUCAUCUCUUUCCAUUUUUGAGUCUCUUUAGAGUCAGGAAUCUUCCAAGUAGGAAAGGAUGGAAGGGUUGGAAGGUGCUGCUGAGAAUGAGGGGAUUUUCUUUCUCCAGAUGCAGAUAGCUCAGGCUUUGGAAAGAGAAUAGUCCAUGUUCAGCCCCUGCACACUCAGCAGCUCCCACUGGUUACGCAAGCCUGAGUCUGCUGCGCAUGUGCAUGACCACACUGAGAAGUGCAUGUGACAGAUGACAGCACUGGCAGAACUUCAUUUAAUUAUCACUGUUAUUGUUGUUCCUAUAAGCAAUUAAAUGUUUUGGUUUU
rnacentral:lncRNA from 1 species